UGAAGUGAGGGCGAUCUGGCUGCGAUAUCUGUCACCCCAUUGAUUGACAGAGUUGAUUGGGCUGAUCUGGCUGGCUAGGCAGGUGUCCCCUUCCUCCCUCAUUGCUCCAUGUGCAUCCCUCCUGAAGCUGCGCGCUCAGUCAAAGAGGACGACCUUCCCCAACAGAGGCGUACCGUUGUGAAGGGCCUAG
rnacentral:snRNA from 1 species